CUUGAAUUCCUUAGCCUUGCCCCACGAUCGUAUUCAAGACAAAACUCCCUGUUCAAUCAGAUUCGACAAUAUAAAGAACAAUGCUAGAGUUGAUGUUGAUCAGAAAACAAUCAUUCAAAUUCGGGAUAAUCAACAUCCUUCAAUUCCUGUAGGAGUAUCACGGAUCGCAAAUGUACUUCGAUCACACACCUUUACUUGUCUUGCAGGAAUCAGAGUAUCAUAGUGAUCACUAGACUUUUCGGAUUGCGUGGGGUUGGUUCAUACCUUUCUCGAGGGACCCUACCAUCCACCUUCCGAGAGUGUAUUUAAUCCUAGAACGAUACUCUUUUGCCUCCAAUUCAGAUAGGAGGCAACUACUCUUGUGAUUUUGCCAUGGAUCAGAAAAUUGCUGGAAACCAUGAAUUCUUUAAGUCGCACAAUUGCAGAUUGUAGUGAAAUGGCUUCGACUUUUACUUCUCAUGCAGCGUUUGCUUACCGAUCUCUUCAGUUGUAAACAUUGUCUUCCAUCCGAUUGCCAAAUUCACAUCG
rnacentral:lncRNA from 1 species